GUCGGGGAAAGGCCUCACAAUAGCGCCGUUGGGCCCACGCCUGGAGGUGGGGAAGGGCCCCGGCUUCGCUUUGGGUAUUGGUCUCUGGGAGGUUUACCUCGUUUGCUGCUCCAGGGGAGGAGGUGGCUCUCUGGCUCAGGCCUGGACCAAUUCUGCUUUUUCCGGCUUUCAAAUGAGAAUGAUAGAAUAUAGAGUCUCAUAACCAGCUUGACAAGUCGGAAUGGUACAUGGGGAAUUCAAGGGCCCACUUUGAGGCCAGGUCCAGCCUGAAGCACAGUGAACAAAAGUUUCCACACAUGAAGAGGAGGAAAUGCAAAUGGAUGUCCAAUCAUUUCCUGUAGCAGAAGCAGGUGAAAGGUCCCUAGGAGAUCUGCAAGGCAGGCAAUACUAGAUAAAUCCUCUUGUUCUAGAUCUUGUGGCAAAAUAUCUUGACUGGUUCCUUUGGCUAGUCUGGAUCAUUUGUAUGGAAGACUACUACUACCUGGAAAAUAAUGAAAACCGGGUUUUAACAUUAGUAAGAGCCCAAGGAGAAGACCCUAAAUUUGGAUUCAUGGAGAACCCUGGUGGUACAGUUGAAGUGUUUUCGCUGGGAAAGCAGGCCGAAAACCAGGCCAGGAGGACCUGUUGGGCGGAGGCCUUUCUGAAGGAGGGAGAAGAGCCUAGCUGCCUCAUAAGGAGACCAGGGAGAAGGCCUUUUGAUGGCUCUAUUGUUCGAAACGCUUGCCCUACAAAUACCACAUUCCUCCCCAGCUCCUGCGCAAGGGCAGAAACUGGGCCGGCUGGGCCGAGCUCGAGGUAGUUGCGGCGCGGGCACCAACCUCUCUCAGCCCGGUCCGCUGCCCCUUGGGGCAGCCACGACGCGCCAUCCCCGUCGCAGGCCCGAAACACACAAAGGAAGCCCCCACCCGUCCUCCGAUGCGGGGACACUCUGGGGA